rnacentral:rRNA from 1 species
UACGGAGGGUGCAAGCGUUAUCCGGAUUCACUGGGUUUAAAGGGUGCGUAGGUGGUCAAGUAAGUCAGUGGUGAAAUCUCCGGGCUUAACCCGGAAACUGCCAUUGAUACUAUUUGUCUUGAAUACUGUGGAGGUCAGCGGAAUAUGUCAUGUAGCGGUGAAAUGCUUAGAUAUGACAUAGAACACCAAUUGCGAAGGCAGCUGGCUACACAAAUAUUGACACUGAGGCACGAAAGCGUGGGGAUCAAACAGG